rnacentral:rRNA from 1 species
UACGGGGGGGGCAAGCGUUGUUCGGAAUUACUGGGCGUAAAGGGCUCGUAGGCGGCCAACUAAGUCAGACGUGAAAUCCCUCGGCUUAACCGGGGAACUGCGUCUGAUACUGGAUGGCUUGAAUCCGGGAGAGGGAUGCGGAAUUCCAGGUGUAGCGGUGAAAUGCGUAGAUAUCUGGAGGAACACCGGUGGCGAAGGCGGCAUCCUGGACCGGCAUUGACGCUGAGACGCGAAAGCGUGGGGAGCAAACAGG